UCAAUCGAAUGAUUUUAUUUUUUGGUGAGUUUGAAAAGUACUCCAGAGGUUUAUAUGCAUCCUGAACCAAGAAGUUAAAAUGAGGUACUGGUGAUAUAGCAGUGUCUAUGUUCUGUACCAGAUGUAUGUGUGUGUGUGUGUUUUCAAUGGAGGACAGGGUUUAAUUAACAAAGCAUCAAACCUGGAAUUUGUCAGGGUUGAGUCCUAUAUCUGUAUGUCUCUUGGAAUUAAUUAUUCAAAGGCUAGCAAUGUCCCAUUAUUGCAAAAUGCUUUGUGGCUGCUUCCCUUGUGGUUGUCUCAAGUUCAAAUGGGUUAUUGGUGAGUUCAUUACCCCAAUGCCUCCACCCAGGCACUGGUCACCCCUUAGGAGAAUCAAUAUACUGCCCCAUAGAGUCUCCUGAAGAAAUCCAAUCCCGUGCUGAAACACAGAUAUUUCUACGGCUUCAUAAGCACUCUCUGCACAACAUGUAACAGAUUUGGUGGUGGGUAAAAGAAGGAGAUUCUUCCUCUCUACAGCCUAGAUUCCCCAGAGCCAAAUCCAGGCCUGACAAGAGCCAGAAUCAGCUGUGCUCCCCACCCGCCCAUCCUAACACCCCCGCCAUUGUGGUGGCCCUGAACCACUAAAGAGCCCACUGGUCUCUGCUCAGAGGGAAACCAAAGUCAGCCCAGGAGUGUGGGUGGACGGCAGGUGCUCCCAGCCAGGGUAGCUGGGGCUACAUCUUCACAAACCUCUGGUCUCCGCAGUCAGAAUGGCUCUCUUGCGGAGCAACUGACAUAGUGCGGGUGGGUGGCCUGGGGCGUGAUGGUCUAUGAAGUUGUUCUCUCCACAAUCCAGAAGGCUGCUCUGUACUGCUGGGCAUAUCGUCUUGUCAGGGAACAGGAGAGUUUUCGCUUAAAACAGGGAAGAUGCUCUUCCUCCUGCAGAUAAAGAAGUCCCACACUGUGUGUCCUCAGCUGACCCCACAUAGGAAGCUGGGACUUUGAAGUCUAUCCUAGACUUGGUCACUCACCCUAUAGCAAGAUCUUGGACGGAUUCUUAGUUACAUCUUUUAGCUGCAUUUAACACAGAUUAAUAAACACCAAAUUUCCUUCCUGCUUCUCCCCACUCCUCUUAUUGUCAUCUGUAAAUGGUUGACUUUCACCCUGUGGUCAAGGCCCACCAGGUACCCCACAUCCUGUGGCCCACGAAGACUGAGGUCAGACCUGUAAAAGGGAAAGAAGGCACUACCCCUCUCCUGACAAUGAUAGCAAGGAAAUCAUGUAUGGGUUUGGGCAGUAGGGAGUAGUGUUUUGAGGUUACCACACGAACACCGUGCUUGCUGCAUGUCAGGUUCUUUGCCAUGUAUCUUGUGACUGAAGUAGUCUCAUAAUGGACCCUGUGCCCCAUUACCAUCCCUGUAGCAAAGUGAGGCACCGAGGGUUUCAGUAGGUGGAGUAAGUUGCCCAGCUUUACACACAAGUGGCAGAACUGGGACUUGAACUCAGGCAGCCUGACCCAAGAAUCCAUGCGCUUCACUGCAGAAUGCUGCUCCCUUGCUAGUGAGCACGGGAGACUGAUGAUAUGGAUAGGAAUUGGGUCAUAUCUUUCUUGCCUUCGCUAGACAGUCAGCAUCUAUCAGUAAGCCUUCAUUCACUUUGCCAAAAAUAAUAUCAGCUCCUUGUAGGGUUUAGUUCCAGGAUUGGGUCAGAAAAUCCAUGUAAAGGGCUUAGCACAGGGCCUGGGGACAGAAAGUGCCUCAUUUGUGUUCAGUCUCAUCAUGUAUUGAGACCUUCUGUGUACCCAUCAUUGUUUGAUGUGCUGGAGCCACGUAGAGAAACACAGCGCCGACUCUCUACUCUCACUCUGGGGGUGUCUAAUGCUACUUUAUUUCCUGACUUGUGCAUCGUGAUUCAGUAGCUAUUUACCUUCCCUGCCUUCGUUCCAUUCUUUUUCACUCACUCAUUACUCCUGGCAGUUUUCCAGUUGCUGGGCUUCAUGGUGGAGCAAUGGCCUCUGUCCUCAGUUGGUAGUCACAGGCUGGUGGGAUGUGGUCAGCUGUGGUUCCAGUGAAGCGUGCUGAAAUAGAGGGAGAUGCAAAGCCAGAGAUAGCCCAGGGAAUGAUCCUCGGGUCUUAAGGAGCAGCUCAGUAUAGAAGCCAUGCAUCCUAGUCACAAAUCCUUCGGGCUGACGUGGGCCACUUGACAGGUCAUGGCUGAGCAGAUCUCAAACUCAUUGCCCAAAAGCAGUGAACAUGGGCUUCCGUGGUGGUUAUCCAUAUGGGGUAGGUCACUGAGAAUGACAGACAAAGGUCAUUUCUUCCAUUUAGAACUGGGAUUUAAGAUUCUUCUAGUAGCCUUAUCAUCUAAUUUUUUUAAGACAGCGGAGCAGUCACAAAAUACAUUCAUUUAUAAAGUUGCCUUAAGAUCUGAAGCCUCCACAUCCAUCUGAGGAGCCUGGCCUUUGCCUCAAGCCCCAGAAGGUCAACUGAAGUAUUGUGCAAAUAAGGUAACAAGAAACUUCAAUGCCACUCCCAGUAUCAGAAAAAGAGGUCAGAUGGAUACUUUGGUAAAUAUGAAUCCAAAGCCUUCUGUGAAGUUGAAGAACUUUAAAAACUGAUGCGUCCUGCUUUGGAAAGGAUGGAUAGAGAUUUUAAAGGCUCCAGCCAUUGAAAUUUCAAUAUGCAGUGUCUAACAUAACAACAUUAAGCAGAGCAGAAAGUAGGCAAUUACAGCCAUCUAGCUUCGUCAAAACAAGUUCAUUUAUUCCAAUGAAAUUCUAAUCAUUCUCACGGAGACCUGCAGUCAGGAAAUACACAGAGCUGACCAAAGGCAGCUCUCACCAUUGGAGGGAGGAGCAGGCGAGACCCUGAGGAUGGCCGAGCUGUGGACAUUGUGAAUGCAGAUGAUGGGGCUGAACACAGACGCUGGCCAGCAGCACUUUGGAGGGGGCUCUGCUGACCUGGUGCUUUUGAAGCAACAACAAGAACAACUAUUGUCAUUUGAUUCGGGUUAUCAAAUCACCUGCUGUUCCCUCUUGUCGUUCCCUCCUGUCGCAUCCCAGCAUGACAAGGUUAGAGGUGCCCCGAGCUAAGAGGUACGAUGAUGGCUGACUCGGUGGUCCCAGUGGAGCUGUGGCUGGAAGCCGCUGAGCCUGCAGAGAUGGCGCUCUGUCACAGUGCGGUCUCACUUCCUCUACAGGCUGCCUCUGUGACCUCUGGAGGGGGCUGUGGCUUGCUGACUGAGUGACCCUGCAGUAGUUAUCCAAGCCAGAGCUGGGAAGGGACCUGCAGGAUGGGGAAGUCAUUAUUUUGUGGUUGUUGGGUAUUCCGAUACCGGGUGGUGGGUUUCACGAAGCAUGUCCUCAGUGUUCUGGGGAAAAUUGUUCCAUGACAUGGGGAGGUGGCACCUUUCAGUAAGCAGCACUCUCUGGUGCUGGAACUUGAGCACUAGAAUGGGAGAGAAGAAAGCCAGGAACUCGGAAAUGUGUCCUUUGCCUUGUUUGUUGGGAAGCAGAAGUCCUGUUGUCUGCCUGGCAUUUUAUGAAGGGAUCCAAUUCAGCAACCAUGAGAAGGCAGUGCAGUUUAGUGCGCAUUGGGCCAUCCGGGUCAAUAAGACCUGGCUGUGGAGCCUUGUCAGUUCCCACCAGAUCCUGUUUGCCCAUUUAUUCAUUGUUCAUUUCACAAGCAUUUCUGACACACUUUCUUUGUGCCAGGUUUCUGCCCUCAAGGAGAUCACUGCCUAGAAUGUAAGAAAGAAAAACAAAUACACUCUUGGAGAGAAAUUGCUCCCAGGUGCAGUGAGAAACAUAGCACUAGCUAACAUUUCUGGGGCACUUACUAUGUGCCAGGCAUUGCUGCUAUAUGCUUUGCAGGGACUUACUUUCUUUUUCUUCCUUCCUUCCUUCCUUCCUUCCUUCCUUCCUUCCUUCCCUCCUUCCCUCCUUCCCUUCCUUCCCUUCCUUCCUUCCUUCUUUCUAUUUCCCUCCCUCCCUCCCUUUCUUUCUUUCUUCUUUCCUUCGUCUUUCUUUUUUUUUUCUUUAAAUACUCACAGCAUCCAUAUGGGGUAAGAACUAUUUUUUAGUCCUAUUUUGCAGGAGAGAAAACUGAGGCACAGAGAAGUAACUUCCCAAGGUCACAGAACUGUAACAGCAUGGUCAAGACAAGCACCCUCUCACUGUGACAUGGGCUUGGGAGUAAGUUAAACAGUAUGUAUCUGAGAACAUCAUCUUCUUACUAGCUGUGUGACCCUGGGCAAGUUGCUUGACCUCUCUGAGCCUUCAUUUUCUCAUCUGUGAAAUGGGCUACACCAUCUCUCUCGCUAGGUUCUAGUAGGAUAAAUGCACGCGGAGCUUUCAUUACUCAUUCACCAAAGUACCUUUGUAAAUGCUUCUGGUCCUCUUUUCUGGGUAGAGCACAUCAGAAUCUUUCAUUGAAUUCCCCUGUAUGCGGAGCUCAUGAGAAGGACUCCAUGGGUCAAAACACACGGGAGUUGAUCCUUCUCCCUUAAUUCUUGGCUUUCAUUUCAUCAAAAUGAAAGCUUCUUCUAACUCAGUUUGAAACUGCCAUCAUUUCAAAUUUCUAAUAUGAAAUUCUUGCAUGUGAAUGUUUACUGUAUGCAACAACCAUGUUUUCUUUAAAUAGCUUUAAAGAAUAAGAUUUUAAAAUUGGAGAAGUAAUUGAUGUCUAUUUUAUCUCCAACAAUAUAAAGAAAAGAGGGGUGGACAAUGCAGAAAUCAUAUCCUUACACAUUUAAAGCAAGCUGCCACAAACUUCCAGGCUGGCAUUGAGUAAAAUGUGCCAUUUUCAUGUUCAUGUAUCUCCUGUAACAAUAGAGUAGGCAUUCCUUGAAUUCACUGAACAGAAUGCAAGAAACAGUAGGAAUGGCAUUGGUUUAUACAGUUGUCUACAUCUCUGAUGAUUUGGGGUAGUCUGCUUUCAUUCAUAAAUUUCACAUCAAUUAGCUAACCAAGAAUUUGGUGGCAUCUACUUACUAUAUUUUAGUCACAAAAGGGAUGGAGUGGGAUGUUUACAAGAAUGCCUAAGGCACAUUCUCUUUUUUAAAGGAAUUUAAGAUACUGUUACAAGUAAGUCUGCUUCCAGUUCAUAUUGUCAGUCUCAUCUGGGGACUUCAAGUCAUUCCAGAAUUUUUAUCCCCUCCUAAUUUUCCUAAGGAUAUCAUGAUCCUCUCAGUCUCAGCAGGGGGCUUAAAUUUGACUUGUUUACUUGUUUACUUAAAUUUGACCUGAAUUUUUCAGUGUAUUAAUCAAUUGCUCUGCUUCACCACACCUUCUUUCAUUUGUACACAAAGCCCUCUGUGAUCCUGCCUCUGCUGCCUCCCAGCCUCAUUCCAUGCCCCUUCCCCAGCUAGUACUCCAUCCUGGACCACACGAACCACCUACAGUUAAUCCAAAUUGGUCAUGCUCUCUUGCCUCCAUGCCUUUGCACAGCAUGACUCACUGCCACUGCCUGGAACGCUGUUGCUACCCUUCUCUCACCAUCCAAUUUUCCCAGGCUAAAUCCUUCUCAUCCUUCAGGAUUCCUUCAUCUAUCAACUCCUGUGAGAAUAUCUCUCUGACUCUCAGCUGGGGUAGGAGCCUCUCCCCAGUGCUCUGGGAGUUCUGUGCACAGUCUCAGGAUUAACUCUUGGCAGGUCCCGUAUAAGAAUUGUCUCCCCACUCGUUUGUCUCCUGAACUAGACUCUGAGCAAUGUGAAGACACGUAAGUACCCAGUAGAUAUCUCUUGAGUGUAUGCUUGGCAGAUGGAUGGUUUGGUAAAUGGAAGGCAAAAUUUCAAAUGACAACAAUAAGAACCACACAAAUAAAACUCAGUUGAAUUCAUUUGCCCUACAGCAUCUAGAAAAAAACAUGUGAUUCAUUUCUAAAAUCACUACCUAAAACUUCACCAUGAAAUCUGAGGAACAAAAGAGUUGAAUGCAUUGAGAAAAUAAAAGGCAACAUGGUAUGAGGCCUUCACAUCUCUCUAGGGUGCAGAUUCCCACUUAAAUACUCAGAGCUCCCGAUGUUAAAUUUUUAUUCUAAUAUUAUUUCUUCUACUUGCUCUAAAUCAGUAUUUAAUCCUUACUCUAAAUGUCAUUAUGGUAUUUUCAUUAUACUGGAAAUGCGUUCUUCUAAAUAUUGAAAACAGAUUUUUUAAUGAAUGAUUAUCUUUUUCUAUUUCCUUUGGCCACAUUUUCUUAAUGCUAGGUUACAAAUGCUUCUUUUGUUUUUUGUUAAAAUUUUAAAAUUUUCAGGGUACAUAGUAGGUGUAUAUAUUUAUAAGUUACAUGAGGUAUUUUGAUACAGGCAUGUAAUGCAUCAUAAUCACAUCAAGGUAAAUACAGUAUCCAUCACCUCAAGCAUUUAUCCUUUGUGUUUCAAACAAUCCAUAUUCUUUUAAUUAUUUUAAAAAGAACAAUUAAAUUAUUUUUUUACUGUAGUCACCCUGUUGUGCUAGAUUUUUAAAAUUCUUUCUAACUCUGUUUGUGUACCAAUUAACCAUCCUCCUUUUCCGCCACCCUGACCCUUCCCAAUCUGUGGUGACCAUCCCUACUCUCUAUCUCCAGUUCAUUUGUUUUAAUUUUUAGCUCCCACAGAUAAAUGAGAACAUGCAAUAUAUGUCUUUCUGUGCCUGGCUUAUUUCACUUAAUAUAAUGACCUUCAGUUCCAUCCAUUUUGUUGUAAAUGACAGAAUCUCAUCUUUUAUAUGACUGAAUAGUACUCCAUUGUGUAUAUGUCCCAUAUUUUCUUUAUUCAUUUGUCUGUUGACAGUUAAGUUGCUUCAAAAUCUUGGUUAUUGUUAAUAGUGCUGCAAUAAACAUAGGAGUGCAGCUAUCUCUUUGACAUACUGAUUUCCUUUCUUUUGGGUACUUAGGAAUGGAGUUGGAUUGCUGGAUUAUACUAUAUUUAGUUUUUUGAAGAACCUCCAAACUAUUCUCCAUAGUGGUUGCACUAAUUUACAUUCCUACCUAUAGUGUGCAAAAGUUCCCUUUCUCCACAUCCUCACCAGCAUUUGUUAUUGACUGUCUUUUGGCUAAAAACCAUUUUGACUGGGAUGAGAUGAUAUUUCAUUAUAGUUUUGAUUUGCAUUUCUCUGAUGAUCAGUGAUGUUGAGCACCUUUUCAUAUACCUGUUUGCCAUUUGUAUGUCUCUUUUUGUGAAAUGUCGAUUAAGAUCUUUUGCCUAUUUUUAAUCAGAUUAUCAGAUCUUUUCCUGUAGAGUUUUUUGAGCUUCUCGUGUAUUAUGGUUAUUAAUUCCUUGUCAAAUGGGUAGCUUGCAACUAUUUUCUCCCACUCUGUGGAUUGUCUCUUCACUUUGUUGAUUGUUUCCUUUGCUGUGCAGAAAGUUUUUAACUUGAUGUGACCUCUUUUGUCCAUUUUUGGGGUGCCUGUGGGGUAUUGGUCAAGAAGUCUUUGCUCAGUCCAAAGUCUUGGAGAGUUUCCCCAUUGUUUUCUUUUAGUAGUUUCAUAGUUUGAGAGCUUAAAUUUAAUUUUAUAAUCCAUUUUUAUUUGAUUUUUGUAUAUGGUGAGAAAUAGGGGUCUAAUUUCAUUCUUCUGCAUAUGGAUAUCCAGUUUUCCCAGUACUAUGUAUUAAAUAGGCUGUACUUUCCUCAAUGUAUGUUCUUGGAACUUUUUUUGAAAAUGAGUUUACUGUAGACUAUGGAUUUAUUUAUAUGUUCUCUAUUCUGUUCCACUGGUUUAUGUCUCUGUUUUUAUGACAGUACCAUGCUGUUUUAGUUACUAUAUCUCUGUAGUGUAAGUCAGAUAAUGUGAUUCCUCCUGUUUUGCUCCUUUUGUUCAGGAUAACUUUGGCUAUUCUGGGUGUUUUGUGGUUCCAUAUAAAUUUUAGGAUUGUUUUCUGUGUUUUUGUGAAGAAUGUCAUUGGUAUUUUGAUAGGGAUUGCAUUAAAUCUGUAGAUUGCUUUGGGUAGUAUGGACAUUGUAACAAUAUUGAUUCUUUCAAUCAGUGAAAAUGGAAUAUCUUUCCAUUUUUGUAUAUCCUCUUCAAUUUCUUUCGUCAAUACAUUGUAGUUUUCAUUUUAGAGAUCUUUCACUUACUUGGUUAAUUCCUAGGUAUUUUGUUUAAUUUGUAGCUAUUGUAAUUGGGAUUACUUUCUUGGUUUCCUUUUCAGUUUGUUCACUGUUGGCAUAGAAAAGUGGGACUGACUUUUAUAUUGAUUUUGUAUUGUGCAACUUUACUGAAUUUGUUUAUCAGUUCUAAUAGUUUUUUGGUGGAGUCUUUAAGUUUUUCCAAAUAUAAGAUAUUAUUGACAAACAAGGAUAAUUUGACUUUUUUCUUUCCAGUUUGGAUGCCCUUUAUUUCUUUCUCUUGUUUGAUUACUCUAGCUAGGACUUCCCGUACUAUGUUGAAUAACAGUGAUAAUAGUGGGCAUCCUUGUCAUGUUCCAUAUCUUAAAGAAAAGACUAAAACUUUUCCCCAUUCAGUAUGAUACCAGCUGUAGGUCUGUCAUGUAUGGAUUUUAUUAUGUGGAAGCAUGUUCCUCCAUACCCAGUUUUUUAGGGUUUUUGUUAUAAAGAGAUGUUGAGUUUUAUCAAAUGCUUUUUCAGCAUCAAUUGAAAUGAUCGUAUGGCUUUCGUCCUUCAUUCUGUUGAUAUGAUGUAUCAUAUUGAUUGAUUUGCAUAUGUUGAACUAUUCUUGCAUCCCUGAGAUAACUACCACUUGGUCAUGAUAAAUGAUCUUUUUAAUGUGCUGUUGAGUUUGGCUUGAUAGUAUUUUAUUGAGGAUUUGUGCAUCAAUAUUUAUCAGUGAUAUUGGCCUGUAGUUUUCUCUUUUUAUGAUGUGUCUUUGUCUGGUUUUGGGAUCAGGGUAAUACUGGCCUCUGAGAAUGAGUUUGAAAGCAGUCCCUCCUCCUCUAUAUGUUGGAAUAGUUUCAGUAGGAUUGGUAUUAAUUCUUUAAAUGUUUGGUAAAAUUCAGCAGUAAAGCCACCAGCUCCUGGGCUUUUCUUUGCUGAAAGCCUUUUUAUUAUAGCUUCGAUCUUGUUACUCAUUGUUGAUGUGUUCAGGUUUUGGAUUUCUUCAUGUUUCAAUCUUGGUAGGUUGCCUGUGUCUGGGAAUUUGUCCAUUUCUUCUAGAUUUUCCAAUUUAUUGGCAUACUUGCUCAUAGUAGCUAUUAAGGACCUUUUAAAUUUCUGUAGUAUUAGUUGUAAUGUCUCCUUUUUCAACUAUGAUUUUAUUUAUUUGGUUCUACUGUCUUUUUUAAAAAAAUCUGGCUCAAGGUUUGUCUACUUUGUUUAACUUUUCAAAAAAACCAACCUUCAUUUCCUUGAUCUUUUGCAUUGUUUUCUUCAUUUUAAUUUCAUUGAUUCCUGCUCUGAUCUUUGUUAUUUCUUCUAGUAAUUUUGGAUUUGGUUUGCUCUCGUUUUUCUAGUACUUUAAGAUGCAUUGUUAGGUUGUUUAUUUGAAGUUGUUCUUCGUUGAUGUGGGCACUUUCAGGUAUAAACUUCCCUCUUAGUACUGCUUUUGUUGUAUCCAUAGGUUUUGUAUGUUAUGUUUUUUUAUCAUUUGUUUUAAAAGAUGUUUCUGGCUCACGCCUGUAAUCUCAGCACUUUGGGAGGCCGAAGCAGGUGGAAAUCACGAGGUCAAGAGUUCAAGACCAGCCUGUCCAAGAUGGUGAAACCCCAUCUCUAUUUAAAAAAAUACAAAAUAUAGCCAGGCGUGAUGGCAGGUGCCUGUAAUCCCAGCUACUUGGGAGACUGAGGCAGAGAAUUGCUUGAACCCAGGAGGCGGAGGUUGCAGUGAGCUGAGAUUGUGCCGCUGCAUUCCAGCCUAGGCAACAGAGCGAGACUCCGUCUCAAAAAAAUAAAAAGUUUCAAUUUCCUUCUUAAUUCCCUCAUUGAUCCACUGGUCAUUCAGGAGCAUAUCGUCUCAUUUUCAUGUAUUUGUAUAGUUUCCAAAAUUCCUCUUUUGAUUGAUUUCCAGUUUUAUUCCAUUGUGGUCAGAAAAGAUGCUUCAUAUUAUUUCCAUUUUUUGAAUGUUUUAAUACUUGUUUUGUGACCUAACGUAUGGCCAAUCCUUGAGAAUCAUCCAUGUGCCAAGGAAAAGAAUGUGCAUUCUACAGCCUUUGGAUGGAAUGGUCUGUAAAUAUCUAUUAGGUCCAUUUGGUCUCUAGUGCAGAUUAAGUUCAAUGUUUCCUUACUGACUCUCUGUCUGGAAGAUUGGUCCAAUGCUGAAAGUGGGGUGUUAUUUUUUUUAAGCAUUAUGUUUUACGUGACUUUAAAACAUCUUAUCCUGUAUCUCAGCCAAAAGAUAUUUUCUUUGUGUGUUCUCUUCCUCUUUAUCCAUUCAGAUGCAUAAUUUCUGCACAAAUGCAAUCAGGUUACGUACAAUUUCUUAAUGUUAUUUAGUAAACACUUGCAUGUUUCUGCAUAGUCAUCAUUAACCAUAAAAUAUCUACAAAUAUGCUUGUGUGGUGCUAUGGUGUGUUUAAUCAUUUCUCUAAUGUUGAGCGAGGAAGUCAUGUUCAAAUUGUUGGUGUCAUUAAUACCACUCCCCUAAACACCUUUGUCGUGUCCUGCUCUUAACAAUGUUUUCUGCAAGUAGAAGGCUGAAUGGCAGAGGCAUUAAUAAUAGGAAUAAUAAUAAGAAGAAGACAAAUAAAUGUGUUUUGGAGUCAGCAAAAUGUAGGUUCAAAUCCUAAUGCUUCCCCUUACUACCGACAAUAACCUUGAACAAGUUUCCUAAGCUCCCCGAAUCCAAUUUUUUUCAUCUGAAACUUGGAAAGAAUAGUAUGUCCCAAAAGUUUGGCAUGAAGAUUAGAUGGACCACAGUUUGAAAGAGCCUGGCAAACAGAAGAAGCAUAAUAAAUGCCAGUCUCCUCCUGUACUUUCUGAGUGCAGCAGAUCAGGACUCAACUUGUACUGCUGCCAUUUAUUUUUUACAUUAUAUUGAUCAAGUUGCCUUAAUUUCUCAGCACCCCAGUUUUCUCAUGUGUGAAUAAUUAUGUCCAUUCUGAAUCACAGUAACUACAGGUUGAGGGUGAAAAUAAUAAUGCAUGUGACAAGCACUUCCUAAACUGUAAAUUACUACUCCAGGAAGCCAAGUCCAUACAUUGGUUGCGGCUUUGAAUUCUAUGCUGAGAUUCUGAUGCUGCAGGCAAGAUCAGAAAGAAGAGAAGGAGUGACUGAUUGAUGAUGUCUGCCAAGAAGUGUGGCCUGAGGGAGCUGGAACAUCUGCCUGUAUUUGGCACCUCUCCCCAGUACAAGUGUUAUUACAUAUGUAUAAUCAUUAUCAUUGGGAUAUUUUUGAUACUAUCUAUAGGCUAUUUGUUGUUGUUAUUGUUAAAUAAGUCUAAAUCUUCAAAUAAGCUGUAUCAUCAACUGAGUGUGAAAGCAUUUAGAUUUCACAGUAGUGGUUUUUGAUCCUGUACCUUUAAUUUCCCAAGUGAAUGAAGAUUUUUGUUGUUGUUAUUGUUAUACUUUAAAGAACAUUGGUCCCUGCAUGUAGCCUCCGCUGAUAGCAACAGGAGUAUAGUCCAGUGCCUAAAAGAAUUGGGCAAUUAGCUUUGGAAAAUGACCUCCAUCAGAAUGACAUAAAGUGGCCUGCAGCAGAAUGAGUGUGGCCGAAGUCAGCAUUUGGAAUCCGGCCGAGGUUUUUUUGUUUCUUAUUUUUGUGAGGUUUUGACUCCCAGCCACGGUACUUCCCUUGGUUACAUGACAGGAGAAGGGAUUACAAUUCAACCCCCUUUUCCACCUAAAUGGCAAGCCAAGCCUGAGGAUGAAACAGGAAUCCCUGCUCAGAGAUUGAGAUGACCCGUAGUUACUGGCAGUCACAGUAGGCUGGAAUCCAGGUAUACCAUUCACCAUUCAUGCAUUCUGACAGAGCCGCAAGAAACCCUCAUUAAGCCCUGACGUUCUCAGGAGGCAGAAGCCACACCAGAAAAUCUCCUAUGCCUCACUCAAUGCCCAGCAUACUAUAAAUCCUCAAAAGACUUAAGCAUAAAAGGUGCUAUUCAAAGUGUGGCCCAUGGGUCACUGCUGGCUUGCAAACUGUCUGGUACCAAUCUGUCAUGAGUUUAGAAAAUGAGAAUAAGAACUUUAAGUCUACUAUAACUAUUUGGCAUUGUCAGGUAGACUGACAGUGCAUGACCAGUGGACUCAUCUCAUUGACUGGGAGUGCAUGACUCAUCUCAUUGACUGGGAUAUAGACCAAUUCAAGGUUUAUCGAGCUCAUAUGGCAAGUGGCCACUAGUCUAAGGCUGGAGGAGCACGUGUCACAGGCAGUUUGGAAAGGACCGGCAUUGAGCUCUGUAACAUGAGUCUGAUUCAGAAACCAGCUCCGUUGUCCCCAAGGACCCACCAGAAUAACAAUUAUCAUAAUACCAUUAGUUCCCUCUAUAUAUAUAUUAGGAACUAUAUGCACCUAAUGGAAUGAUAAGUAUCAUUAUCCCCAUUUUUACACAUACAAAUCCAUCAAUGCCUAAGGCCACAAAGCUGAUCCCGCAGCAAUGUUUUCCUGGGCUCAGGCCUGGCUUGUUCUUAGAACCUGCUACACCACUCCACCGUGGGGUUGAGAACUGGAACCCUGGCAUGGGUCCAUAAGGGAGAGACAGUGCUUUAGAGAAGGUGAGGGAUUCGGCCUCUGAAACAAAGCUGUCAGAUCUCAGUCUUACUUUUCCCUUCCUCCUCCUUCACCUUCUCCUCCUCCUCCUUCUUUUCCCCUCCGCCUCCUCUUUCUUGGAGAAAGGCCCCAUCUGAGAGGAGGCAGAGAAAGCCCUUUGGAGCCAUGGGAAUGCGGCACACAGAGAAUGAUUAAAACUUGGAACACCCGAAGGGCACUUUUAAUUGCAUUUGGAGAUAGAAAA